rnacentral:rRNA from 1 species
AGUUUGAUCCUGGCUCAGGAUGAACGCUAGCGACAGGCUUAACACAUGCAAGUCGAGGGGCAGCGGAGGCGAGUGCUUGCACUUGCCGGACGGCGACCGGCGCACGGGUGAGUAACACGUAUGCGACCUGCCCGUAGCAGGGGGAUAAGCGGAAGAAAUUCCGUCUAAUACCGCGUAAUAUCUUUCGGGGGCAUUCCUGAGGGAUUAAAGGAAGCGAUUCCGGCUACGGGAGGCAGCAG